UAUAGCCUGAGGAGAAAUCUUCCAUCCUUGAAGUCAUAACAGCAAUGGAGCGAGGCGCAGAUAUAGCGGAGUGCGCUUUGACUUGGGUGGAAGUCGUCAGGCUAGGAAGGGGUUAAGGUUUGGAAGCUGCCUUGUUCUGUACAG